CGUUGCCGUCUGUAACCAAGAGUCAACCAAGAAUUGACCAAUCGGCGUCUCAGUAUGCCGGGUAUACUCGGAGCGGAUGCCGGCUCGUGAGAGAGUCACUUUUUCCAACUCUGCGAAAACGGAACCAUGGUGCAGAAAACGGGCUGACGGCAGUCUGAACCUUACACACACAGUGGAAGCUACGAAGGUGAAGCAAAGAACAAAGGCAGACCGGGGAUGCGACCUCUGUCUCCAGAGGAAGUGAUGGAUAAGGCCAGAAGAGCCAUAACCAGCAACAUGGAGAUCCAUCCGUCAGAGGACACCUGCGGGGUUUCUUCAGAUUGUGGCACCAGGUGUGGAGAGCACUAAAAGGUUGGGGCUCACAGUCCCGCACAGUGGCCAGACUGCAACCGAGUGGUAGAGGCCAUCAUCACAAAGCUCUGUCAGUGUGUGCUGUGAUGGAGUGAGGGUCUCACGAUUCAAAUUGGUGACAUGUGCUUAUAAGCACAUCCGAGAGUGUGUGAUCACCAACGCCAAGUCGAUGACUGAGACCACCAUCCAGCUUCCAGAAGUCAGUGCUGCAACUGUCACACAAUGGUUCAGCAGGCGUUGCAGGUCUCAGGAACAUCAGAUCCUGAAGCAGGGUAUCCCAGCUCCUGACCCACCAAUGGCAGGACCUGAGAAGCUUCCUGUGGCCAUGCAGAAAGGGCCAUCUCUGUGUCCCGGCAGUGUGGCUCAGCCUCACAUCUUUGUUCUGCCACCGAACACUGCUGGUGAGGCGAAGCUCAAGAAGGGAUCGAGACCACUGGCCCUCUGCAGGUCCCACCACCACCUCCAUACUAUGGACGUCCCUUCCUUGCACCAGCACCACCAUUCUCAAUUCCCUAUAUGGUACCUUCUGUGCCUGGACCCUCACAGGUUGCGCCUGGAAGCUCACCGAUGGUGCUUCUCAACAUGCCUCCAGCUGCUACUCAGGCGCUAACAUCAGGUCAAACGGACAUACCGUACUCAACACAGCAGUACAGGAAAGAAAAGAAGAGAGGGAGCAAUCUGGAACGGGCAAAAGAAAGUAUGUCAAAAAGACGGACAGAAUCCUUUGUAAAACGUGCCAGGAAGAG